UACGGAGGGUGCAAGCGUUAUCCGGAUUUACUGGGUUUAAAGGGAGCGCAGGCGGAUUGGUAAGUCAGUGGUGAAAUACCCGUGCUUAACAUGGGAACUGCCAUUGAUACUAUCAGUCUUGAAUUAUCUGGAGGUAAGCGGAAUAUGUCAUGUAGCGGUGAAAUGCUUAGAUAUGACAUAGAACACCAAUUGCGAAGGCAGCUUACUACGGAUAUAUUGACACUGAGGCACGAAAGCGUGGGGAUCAAACAGG
rnacentral:rRNA from 1 species